UACGUAGGUGGCAAGCGAUACUCGGAAUCACUAGGCGUAAAGCGCAGGUAGGCGGUUGGAUAAGUUUUUUUGUGAAAGCUCCCGGCUUAACUGGGAGAGGCCAAGAAAUACUGUCUGACUCGAGUGUGGUAGGGGAAACGUGGAAUUCCUGGUGUAGCGGUGAAAUGCGUAGAUAUCAGGAGAAUACCUAUGGCGAAAGCAAGUUUCUGGGCCAUCACUGACGCUGAGCUGCGAAAGCUAGGGGAGCAAACAGG
rnacentral:rRNA from 1 species